rnacentral:rRNA from 1 species
CUCUCGUUAAGGAACUCGGCAAAAUGACCCCGUAACUUCGGGAGAAGGGGUGCUGGUAGCAAUACCAGCCGCAGUGAAUAGGCCCAGGCGACUGUUUAUCAAAAACACAGGUCUCUGCAAAAUCGAAAGAUGACGUAUAGGGGCUGACGCCUGCCCGGUGCUGGAAGGUUAAGAGGAGAGGUUAGCCGCAAGGCGAAGCUUUGAAUUGAAGCCCCAGUAAACGGCGGCCGUAACUAUAACGGUCCUAAGGUAGCGAAAUUCCUUGUCGGGUAAGUUCCGACCCGCACGAAAGGCGUAACGAUUUGGGCACUGUCUCAACGAUGGACUCGGUGAAAUCAUAGUACCUGUGAAGAUGCAGGUUACCCGCGACAGGACGGAAAGACCCCAUGGAGCUUUACUGUAGUUUGAUAUUGAGUGUUUGUGUCACAUGUACAGGAUAGGUAGGAGCUGAAGAAUCCGGGACGCCAGUUUCGGAGGAGGCAACGGUGGGAUACUACCCUUGUGACAUGACCACUCUAACCCGCACCCCUCACCGGGGUGGGAGACAGUGUCAGACGGGCAGUUUGACUGGGGCGGUCGCCUCCUAAAGUGUAACGGAGGCGCCCAAAGGUUCCCUCAGAAUGGUUGGAAAUCAUUCGUAGAGUGUAAAGGCAGAAGGGAGCUUGACUGCGAGACCAACAAGUCGAGCAGGGACGAAAGUCGGGCUUAGUGAUCCGGUGGUACCGUAUGGAAGGGCCAUCGCUCAACGGAUAAAAGCUACCCUGGGGAUAACAGGCUUAUCUCCCCCAAGAGUUCACAUCGACGGGGAGGUUUGGCACCUCGAUGUCGGCUCAUCGCAUCCUGGGGCUGUAGUCGGUCCCAAGGGUUGGGCUGUUCGCCCAUUAAAGCGGUACGCGAGCUGGGUUCAGAACGUCGUGAGACAGUUCGGUCCCUAUCCGUCGCGGGCGUUGGAAAUUUGAGAGGAGCUGUCCUUAGUACGAGAGGACCGGGAUGGACACACCGCUGGUGUACCAGUUGUUCUGCCAAGAGCAUCGCUGGGUAGCUAUGUGUGGACGGGAUAAACGCUGAAAGCAUCUAAGCGUGAAGCCCCCCUCGAGAUGAGAUUUCCCAUCAUUUUAAAUGAGUAAGACCCCUGAGAGACGAUCAGGUAGAUAGGCUAGAAGUGGAAGUGCCGCGAGGCAUGGAGCGGACUAGUACUAAUCGGUCGAGGACUUAACCAC